UACGUAGGGACCGAGCGUUGUCCGGAAUCAUUGGGCGUAAAGAGCGUGUAGGCGGCUAUUUAAGUCCUGCGUGAAAUCCUGCGGCUCAACCGCAGACGGUCGUGGGAAACUGGAUGGCUAGAGUGCGGGAGAGGAGAGUGGAAUUCCCGGUGUAGCGGUGAAAUGCGCAGAUAUCAGGAAGAACACCCGUGGCGAAGGCGGCUCUCUGGGACGGUACUGACGCUGAGGAGCGAAAGCGUGGGGGAGCGAACAGG
rnacentral:rRNA from 1 species